rnacentral:rRNA from 1 species
AAACCCAACUUUGCAUAUCCCCUUAGCGGAGGAAAAGAAACCAACAGGGAUUGCCCCAGUAACGGCGAGUGAAGCGGCAUGAGCUCGGAUUUGAAAGCCUGCGGGCGUUGUAAGUGGGGGAUAUUGCUGAUCUAUUGCUGGAGUAGUGCGUUGGAACACGCCGCCUCAGAGGGUAAGAGUCCCGUACAAUGGUUAACAUCAGUGUGUCCUUUCGUCGAGUCGAGUUGUUUGGGAAUGCAGCUCUAAGCGGGUGGUAUAUUCCAUCUAAGGCUAAAUAUAGGCGGGAGACCGAUAGCAAACAAGUACCGUGAGGGAAAGAUGAAAAGAACUUUGAAAAGAGAGUGAAAAAGUACGUGAAAUUGUUGAAAGGGAAGGGUAUUUGAUCCGACGUGGUGAUCACCCAUCGUUCGGCCUUGUGCCGGGCGCUCUGGGUCUUCACCGGGGCGUGGUUAGAGAGGGGAGUGGGAUACGGGYUGGGGGAACGUGACCCUUCGGGGAGUUAUAGCCCCUGGUCAACUCCACCCCCUUUUCUAGGGACCGCCGUGUAGGACCACGCCAUAACGAGCAAAUACCACCCGUCUUGAAACAUGGACCAAGGAGACUAACGAUCAUGCGAGUGUUAGGGUGGAAAACCCCUGCGCGGAAUGAAAGUGAUUGAUGGGAGGCCUCGGCCGCACCAUCGACCGAUCCGGAUGUAUUCGGAAGGAUUUGAGUACGAGCAUGGCUGUUGGGACCCGAAAGAUGGUGAACUAUGCCCGAGCAGGAUGAAGCCAGAGGAAACUCUGGUGGAGGUCCGCCGCGGUUCUAACGUGCAAAUUGAUCGUCAAACUUGGGUAUAGGGGCGAAAGACUAAUCGAACCAUCUAGUAGCUGGUUCCUGCCGAAGUUUCCCUUAGGAUAGCAGAAGCUCACAACAGUUUUAUGGGGUAAAGCGAAUGAUUAGCGGUCUUGGCGGCGAAAUGCUGUCAGCCGAUUCUCAAACUUUAAAUAUGUAAGAAGCCCCCGUUGCUUGAUUGAACGCGGGCGUUGAAUGUUGAGCUUUUAGUGGGCCAUUUUUGGUAAGCAGAACUGGCGAUGCGGGAUGAACCGAACGUGAAGUUAAGGUGCCAGAAUGCACGCUCAUCAGACACCAGAAAAGGUGUUGGUCCAUCAAGACAGCCGGACGGUGGCCACAGAAGUCGGAACCCGCCAAGGAGUGUGUAACAACUCACCGGCCGAAUGAACCAGCCCUGAAAACGGAUGGCGCUCAAGCGUGCUACCUAUACUUUGCCGAGGGGGUUUGGACGCCCCCUCGAGUAGGCAGGCGUGGGGGUUGUGACGAAGCCUUGGGCGUGAGCCUGGGUCGAACGGCCUCUAGUGCAGAUCUUGGUGGUAGUAGCAAAUAUUCAAAUGGGAACUUUGAAGACUGAAGUGGGGAAAGGUUCCGCAUCAACAGCAGUUGGAUGCGGGUUAGUCGAUCCUAAGGCGCAGGUUAAUUCUGAAAAUUAGACACUUGUCUUUUGGCCGAAAGGGAACCCGGUCAAUAUUCCGGGACUUGGAUUUGGACAGACGGCAACGUAAACGAAUGCGGAGACGCCGGCUUCAGCUCUGGGGGGGAGUUUUCUUUUCUUGUUAACGGCCUGACACCCCGGAAUUGGAUUAUCCGGCGAGGGGGUCUUAUGGUUGGAAGAGCGUGGCCUUUUGUUAGCCAGGUCCGGUGCGCUGAAGACGGUCCGUGAAAAUCCGCAGGAGGGAAUUGUUUCAAGCCAAGUCGUACUAAUAACCGCAGCAGGUCCUCUAGGUUAGCAGCCUCUAGUUGAUAGAAUAAUGUAGGUAAGGGAAGUCGGCAAAACAGAUCCGUAACUUCGGGAAAAGGAUUGGCUCUAGGGGGUGAGGUUGUGGGGCGGGAGGAGACGAGGAUGGGGCGUGUGUUUUCUGGCUUCGGCUGGGAGACGCGUGCCCCGCUCUCCGACCCUCCCGCUAGCGCUCCGGCGCGUCUGCUUCCAUUUAACACCCGCCCUAGAACUGGUACGGACAAGGGGAAUCUGACUGUCUAAUUAAAGCAUAGCAUUGCGAAGGUCGGAAAACGAUGUUGACGCAAUGUGAUUUCUGCCCAGUGCUCUGAAUGUCAAAGUGAAGAAAUUCAAACAAGCGCGGGUA